UACGUAGGGUGCAAGCGUUGUCCGGAAUUAUUGGGCGUAAGGAGCUCGUAGGCGGUUCGUCGCGUCGGCUGUGAAAUCCCGAGGCUCAACCUCGGGUCUGCAGUCGAUACGGGCGGACUGGAGUUCGGCAGGGGAGACUGGAAUUCCUGGUGUAGCGGUGAAAUGCGCAGAUAUCAGGAGGAACACCGGUGGCGAAGGCGGCCUGCUGGGCUAUGGCUGACACUGAGGCGCGACAGCGUGGGGAGCAAACAGG
rnacentral:rRNA from 1 species